CCAACCUGUGUUUAUAAGAAAGCGCAUCUGUCAACGAGAUGCUGCUGCCAACAGAAUCGCCGCACUUCUGUCGAUGGCCUUUUGUCAUUUAUCGUCGUCGGAGAUCUUUCCACCGUGUUGAUCAUAUAUCAGAAAAAAGUGGGCGUCCCAAUACUUUUGAAGCACAGAUUAAGCUCUCAGAUGGCGCUGCAGAUUGAGUGGACCCCAUGCAGAGCUCUUGGGCCCCCGGGGGGAAAUAUACAAUGAUGACACGCAGCAUCAGGACCACAAUCUUCCUCGGGGAUAUUUUACCAAGAGGGGAGAGGGUCUUUUUUUCCCCUCUGCGCGACAUGUGGGAGAAAAUGUGGUCCAGGAAAGGAGACCACCAGACGGGGGGACUUUUGUUCUCUCUCUGCACAACACCAGCGCUGCCAACACUUCCAUCAGCACCACGGAGACACACAGGCACAUUUGGGCAGCUCACCCUGCAACCAUGGUAACAAGAAGAAUUUUUACUCGUGGGCCGCGGCCAAUAGUGUGGCACUUCCCAGUGAGCCGGGUCCAAUAGGGGAGCGGUCUGCAGCCCGGCCCACUUGAAGGAACCAUGAUGGUACUGCUGCAAGGGUUUGGAGACGGAAGCUUGGCUGUUGCGCUAGUAUGAGCGUGUGUGUGUGUGUGUGUGUGUGUGUCAGAGACUGCAGCAUAAAAUGAGGAGAGGAUUCUCUCGGGUAGUAAAGCUCACUCCCUGUGCAACUACCUGAUGUUCAACACUACCAACUCACACAGUCGUUGGCGAUGUGCAGGUCGAUACUGAAAGAUCGAUACUGCCGAUACCAGAGCUUUAUAAUCUAAUCGUUACUUUUGAUACUUUAGUUCAGGGGUGUCCAAACUUUUUCCACCAAGGGCCGCAUGCUGAAAAGUCAAGGUAUGUGAAGGCCAUAUUGAUACAUAUAUAUAUACUUUUUUAAAGUUAAAAACAUAUACUGUGUCAGCUUUGUAUUAUAGGUGACUAAGUAUAUUAUUAUUAUUAUUAUUAUUAUUAUUAUUAUUAUUCCUGCCUCACAAUACGAAGGUCCUGCAGUCCUGGUUUCAAUCCAAGGCUCGGGAACUUUCUGUGUGGAGUUUGCAUGUUCUCCCCGUGAAUGCGUGGGUUCCCUCCGGGUACUCCGGCUUCCUCGCACUUCCAAAGACAUGCACCUGGGGAUAGGUUGAUUGGCAACACUAAAUUGGCCCUAGUGUGUGAAUGUAAGUGUGAAUGUUGUCUAUCUAUCUGUGUUGGCCCUGCGAUGAGGUGGCGACUAGUCCAGGGUGUACCCCGCCUUCCACCCGAUUGUAGCUGAGAUAGGCUCCAGAUAGGCUCCAAAAGGGACUAAGCGGCAGAAAAGGGAUGGAUGGAUGGAUGGAUGGAUUAUUAUUAUUCCCUCCAUCCUAUCUCAGCUAUUAUUAUUAUUAUUAUUUAAUUGACAUUUCAGCUUUUUCUCAUUACAUACCAAUUUUUUUUGCCCUUAGUCUUACAUUUUUAUUGUUGUUUCCUUCCCCAGGUAAGAAUAAAAUAACAAUAAUAAUAAUCAUACCAUUGUGUAAAUCCAUAACCUAGCGUGUCAAAAAAUGAUGCCUGUCAAAAAAAUAUAAACGUUCAGUUACACAUUUAACAGUGUUUUUGUUUAUUUUUUUAAAAUAUUUUAUUUCAUUUUGAGAGCUUUUAUUAUUUUACAUCAGGGGUGUCCAAGGACUUUUUAGUUCCCAUUGAAAAGUCAAUUAUAAGGGGCCAUUUUGAUAUAUUGUUUUAAUUUAUUGUUUUGAAUGCUAAAAGCAGAUAUAGACACAACUUUUUGUUAUAGUUAUAUUAUUAUGAAUUAUUAGUUUUAAAAUGUUUGGCUUUUUCUCAUUACAUUCUGAUUGUUUGCUCUAUUUUCUUAUUUUUUUACUGUUGUUUCCCCCUGUGUAAGAAUACAAUAAAAAAAAUAAUAAUAUGAUUGUGUAACUCCAUAACCUAGUGUGUAUAAAAGUCUACCUGACAACAAACAUGUAAGUUCAGUUGCACAUUUAACAGUGUUUAUUAUGACUAUUGUAAUUGUUUCUAAUUAAUGCACGAGUUAUAUUUAUUGCAUGUUUUUAAUUAACUAACUAACUAAACUUUUUUUGUUUGUUAAGAAUAUUUUAUAUUUAUUUUGAGAGAUUUUUCAUAUUUUACAUCUAUGGUGUCUAAACCUUUUCUACUGAGAAGUCAGGUAUGAGAGGCCAUGUUGAUAUAUUUUUUUAUUUUAAGAAAAAUGCUAAAAACAGAUAUAGACAUACAUUUUUGUUAUAGUUAUGUUAUUAUUAAUUAAUAAUUUUUAAAUGUUUAGCUUAUUCUCCUUA